rnacentral:rRNA from 1 species
AUUGAACGCUGGCGGUAUGCUUAACACAUGCAAGUCGAACGGUAACAGGCCUUCGGGCGCUGACGAGUGGCGGACGGGUGAGUAACGCGUAGGAAUCUGCCUCAUAGUGGGGGACAACGUGGGGAAACUCACGCUAAUACCGCAUACGCCCUACGGGGGAAAGCGGGGGAUCUUCGGACCUCGCGCUAUGAGAUGAGCCUGCGUUAGAUUAGCUAGUUGGUAGGGUAAAGGCCUACCAAGGCGACGAUCUAUAGCUGGUCUGAGAGGACGAUCAGCCACACUGGGACUGAGACACGGCCCAGACUCCUACGGGAGGCAGCAGUGGGGAAUAUUGGACAAUGGGCGCAAGCCUGAUCCAGCAAUACCGCGUGUGUGAAGAAGGCCCUAGGGUUGUAAGCACUUUCAAUUGGGAGGAAAACCUGCCGGUCAAUACCCGGCAGCUUGACAUUACCUUUAGAAGAAGCACCGGCUAACUCCGUGCCAGCAGCCGCGGUAAU